AAAAGCUUCAGAUCUGUGUCACUGCCUUAUCUUUUGGUUGGAUGAUUCUUAACAGAGAUUUUGAAGCCUUUUGCUCUAGUGUGUGAACCUGAGGAAAAGACGUAAAAAAAAAAAGGAAAUAUAAAGAAAUGUGAAACUUCCAGUGAUGUUAUUGUGUUUUAGCAAUAUUUUCUUACUCUUUUUUCCGCCCCUAAUAUAUAAUUGUACUCAUUUUUAGCAAUUCAAAAAGAAAAAGCCGAAAGACAAGAAAAAGUUGAAAAGAAAGCUCCUCCUAGAGAGGAAAAGAAAGUAAAAAGCACAAAAGUGGAAGCAAAAGUUAAAAAGGAAGUGAAAGAUGGAAAAGGUGAAGCAAAGACGGCCGAGAAGCUCAAGCAGGCAGAGAAUAAAACAACAGAAGUUGGGCUAAUAAAGGCCAAACCAAAAGUUAAGGAGGAGAAAGCUCUUCAAACUGUAACUAAAUCGGAAAAGAAAGGUAAACAAAACCUGAAGGAAACAGAUGAAGAUCUUAAAAAGGUAGUAGGAAAGAAGCAGAGAGAAUGAAGUUAAAGCUGGCAAGGACCAAAGUCCACCCAUGAAAAAGAAAAGUGCAGUACAAAUAAAUUCCAGAUGAAUCCCA
rnacentral:lncRNA from 1 species